rnacentral:rRNA from 1 species
GACGAAGGGGGCUAGCGUUGUUCGGAAUUACUGGGCGUAAAGCGCGUGUAGGCGGUUGUUCAAGUCGAGGUGUAGCUAAGCCUUGAGCAUCAACUACAAGAAAUGCACUUGAUACUGGAUGACUAGAGGACCGGAGAGGAUAGUGGAAUUCCCAGUGUAGUGGUGAAAUACGUAGAGAUUGGGAAGAACACCAGUGGCGAAGGCGGCUAUCUGGACGGUUUCUGACGCUAAGACGCGAAAGCGUGGGGAGCAAACAGG